GAUGAACGCUGGCGGCGUGCUUAACACAUGCAAGUCGAACGGGAAAUAUUUCAUUGAGACUUCGGUGGAUUUUAUUUAUUUCUAGUGGCGGCCGGGUGAGUAACGCGUGGGUAACCUGCCUUAUUCAUGGGGAUAACAGUCAGAAAUGGCUGCUAAUACCGCAUAAGCGCACAGAGCUGCAUGGCUCAGUGUGAAAAACUCCGGUGGUAUAAGAUGGACCCGCGUUGGAUUAGCUCUUUGGUGGGGUAACGGCCCACCAAGGCGGCGAUCCAUAGCCGGCCUGGGAGGGUGAACGAGCACAAUGGGAAUGAGACAAGGGCCAGACUCCUACGGGAGGGAGGAGUGGGGAAUAAUGCAAAAUGGGGGGAAAGCUGAAGCAGCGAAGGCGGGUGAAGGAAGAAGUAUCUCGGUAUGGAAAAGUCUAUCAGCAGGGAAGAUAGAGAAGGUAACUGACUGAGAAGCCCCGGCUAAAUACGGG
rnacentral:rRNA from 1 species